CUUGAGAGGACUCGAAAGAGACCGGCGCAUAUCGCUCUACACGGUCGCCGGAGGACGACAUAAAAUUGCAUCAUAUCGCUGCUCCGAGAUCGCCGUGCCUGCAUUAGUGGGAUAUCCAGAUUAUGGAACACAGAAGGCGUUUGAUAUUGGCAAUUUUUGUUGUUUUGUUAUUUGCUUUUUGUUCUGGGAGAGAACUUAAGGUCAAGCACAAGCACAAGCACAUAGAUCAUUUCCCCAUUUACAAUCACACUCUUGCAACAAUAUUGGUGGAAUAUGCGUCUGCUGUUUAUAUGUCAGAUUUGACAGAACUGUUUACUUGGACAUGCUCAAGAUGUGAUGAUUUGACUGAGGGAUUUGAGAUUAUUGAGCUGAUUGUUGACAUUCAGCACUGCUUACAGGCAUUUGUUGGUGUGGCAAAGAAUCUUAAUGCUGUUGUUAUUGCGUUUCGAGGAACUCAGGAACACAGCAUACAGAAUUGGAUUGAAGACUUAUUCUGGAAACAGCUUGAUCUAAAUUAUCCUGGCAUGCCUGAUGCAAUGGUGCAUCAUGGAUUUUAUAAUGCUUACCAUAACACCACAUUACGCCCUGGAAUUCUACAAAAGAGCAAAGGAUUAUUAUGGAGAUCUUGACAUCAUGGUGACAGGGCAUUCAAUGGGAGGGGCUAUUGCUGCCUUUUGUGGACUAGAUCUAACUGUUAACCAUAAAGCCAAAAAUGUGAUGGUUAUGACAUUUGGACAGCCUCGAAUUGGAAAUGCAGAUUUUGUAUCUUAUUAUAGCCGACUUGUGCCAAAUACAAUCCGAGUAACAAAUGGCCAUGAUAUUGUGCCUCAUUUGCCUCCAUAUUACAGUUACUUCCCUCAAAAGACGUACCAUCACUUCCCAAGAGAGGUGUGGCUGUAUAACAUUGGAUUAGGAAGUCUGGUCUACAGAGUAGAGAAGGUAUGUGAUGUUACCGGCGAAGAUCCUACCUGCAGCAGGUCAGUAAGCGGGACCAGCAUUUCAGAUCAUUUAAUUUAUUAUGGUAUUGAUUUAAGGGGAAAGGCAUUGAAUUCUUGUGGAAUUGUAAUGGAUUCUCGUGUAAAGGAAUAUGGCAG
rnacentral:misc_RNA from 1 species